UCGUAGCUCAUUCGGAUAGAGCAACUGCCUUCUAAGCAGUAGGUGGUGGGUUCGAAUCCCGCCGGUC
rnacentral:tRNA from 1 species